ensembl:lncRNA
GUCUUCAUUCCAAGCGGAGGGCGGGCUACAGAUAGAGGAUUGGGUGUCUCUUCCAAGCUCCAAGUCCUUCACAGAAAUGGGCUACUGUGCAUGUUUUCUUCCCAACCUUGAGGUCACCUGUGUGGAUAGAGGUUUUGAAAGAUUUCAGACUCUGGGCACAGAGGUCAUAUCCCGCCUUGACUCUCGCCACGCCUUCCUUGACUUCACAGGUGCUUUCCCUUCAGAAGGCCCUGCUCUGAGCGGCCCCUCUUCCCCGACCCACUCCUUCCAAGACGCAGUACUCGGCAUAGGACGCCCACCUGCCCGCCUUGCGCGGGGCUGACCUGGACAUCCCUGCCCGGGGCUCACACCCCUGCAGGACUGGGGGUAGAUGGAGCCAAAGAGGAUGUCCCCCAGGCUCUACAGACUCAGCAACUUGGGGUGGAGAAUGAGAGUGGAUCAGUCAUUGGAUUGGCUUAAAGGAACACGCGUGUGAUGUCUCUGUGGGCCUGGAGCAGCUUCUGUGGUUGGCGUGGCUGCCUCACCCGCAGUCUUGCCUGAUGGCAGGAGGCCUCUCUCCUCCACCACGCGAUCUCACCCAAGCCCUGCAC